UUUAGCUACAGGCUUAACACAUGCAAGUCGAGGGGCAUCAGGAAGAAAGCUUGCUUUCUUUGCUGGCGACCGGCGCACGGGUGAGUAACACGUAUCCAACCUGCCCUUUACUCGGGGAUAGCCUUUCGAAAGAAAGAUUAAUACCCGAUAGCAUAAUGAUUCCGCAUGGUUUCAUUAUUAAAGGAUUCCGGUAAAGGAUGGGGAUGCGUUCCAUUAGGUUGUUGGUGAGGUAACGGCCCACCAAGCCUUCGAUGGAUAGGGGUUCUGAGAGGAAGGUCCCCCACAUUGGAACUGAGACACGGUCCAAACUCCUACGGGAGGCAGCAGUGAGGAAUAUUGGUCAAUGGGCGCUAGCCUGAACCAGCCAAGUAGCGUGAAGGAUGAAGGCUCUAUGGGUCGUAAACUUCUUUUAUAUAAGAAUAAAGUGCAGUAUGUAUACUGUUUUGUAUGUAUUAUAUGAAUAAGGAUCGGCUAACUCCGUGCCAGCAGCCGCGGUAAUACGGAGGAUCCGAGCGUUAUCCGGAUUUAUUGGGUUUAAAGGGAGCGUACGUGGACUGGUAAGUCAGUUGUGAAAGUUUGCGGCUCAACCGUAAAAUUGCAGUUGAUACUGUCAGUCUUGAGUACAGUAGAGGUGGGCGGAAUUCGUGGUGUAGCGGUGAAAUGCUUAGAUAUCACGAAGAACUCCGAUUGCGAAGGCAGCUCACUGGACUGCAACUGACACUGAUGCUCGAAAGUGUGGGUAUCAAACAGGAUUAGAUACCCUGGUAGUCCACACAGUAAACGAUGAAUACUCGCUGUUUGCGAUAUACAGUAAGCGGCCAAGCGAAAGCAUUAAGUAUUCCACCUGGGGAGUACGCCGGCAACGGUGAAACUCAAAGGAAUUGACGGGGGCCCGCACAAGCGGAGGAACAUGUGGUUUAAUUCGAUGAUACGCGAGGAACCUUACCCGGGCUUAAAUUGCAGUGGAAUGAUGUGGAAACAUGUCAGUGAGCAAUCACCGCUGUGAAGGUGCUGCAUGGUUGUCGUCAGCUCGUGCCGUGAGGUGUCGGCUUAAGUGCCAUAACGAGCGCAACCCUUAUCUUUAGUUACUAACAGGUUAUGCUGAGGACUCUAGAGAGACUGCCGUCGUAAGAUGUGAGGAAGGUGGGGAUGACGUCAAAUCAGCACGGCCCUUACGUCCGGGGCUACACACGUGUUACAAUGGGGGGUACAGAAGGCAGCUAGCGGGUGACCGUAUGCUAGUCCCAAAAUCCUCUCUCAGUUCGGAUCGAAGUCUGCAACCCGACUUCGUGAAGCUGGAUUCGCUAGUAAUCGCGCAUCAGCCACGGCGCGGUGAAUACGUUCCCGGGCCUUGUACACACCGCCCGUCAAGCCAUGGGAGCCGGGGGUACCUGAAGUACGUAACCGCAAGGAUCGUCCUAGGGUAAAACUGGUGACUGGG
rnacentral:rRNA from 1 species